GCGGGACAGCGCAGCCCGGGCGGGGAUGAGCUGACUCGGUCGGUGGCAGCUGCGGGCCCCGCCCGGGCCGCUCCAGCAACUCGCAGCCAAAUAGCUGCAAACUAGCGCCAGUGACCGACUAGCAACAAAACAGGGCUCAGCUAAGUCGCUUGUUUCAGGCUCCCGCCCCGUCUGGCUGAGCUGUGUCUGCUCCAGUGACCAGCAACGAUGCCCGAAAGCCGAGAUCCUUCAGGCCUUCUCCUCCUUGAGGCUGGGCUGGAUUCACAGAAGAUGAGACAUGACAUUAUGCCAUGGG